rnacentral:rRNA from 1 species
GCAUAUCAAUAAGCGGAGGAAAAGAAACCAACAGGGAUUGCCUCAGUAACGGCGAGCGAAGCGGCAAGAGCUCAAAUUUGAAAUCUGGCGUCUUUCUUAGGCGUCCGAGUUGUAAUUUGAAGAAGGUAACUUUGGAAACGGCCCUUGUAUAUGUUCCUUGGAAUAGGACGUCACAGAGGGUGAGAACCCCGUAUAUGGCGAGGUGUCCGUUUCUAUGUAAAGUGCUUUCUAAGAGUCGAGUUGUUUGGGAAUGCAGCUCUAAGUGGGUGGUAAAUUCCAUCUAAGGCUAAAUAUUGGCGAGAGACCGAUAGCGAACAAGUACAGUGAUGGAAAGAUGAAAAGAACUUUGAAAAGAGAGUGAAAAAGUACGUGAAAUUGUUGAAAGGGAAGGGCUUGAAAUCAGACUUGGUUUGUAGUGAUCAGCUGUCUCUUGGGACUGUGCACUCGCUACUUACUAGGCCAACAUCAGUUUUGGCGGUGGGAUAAUGACAGUUGAAUGUGGCUCCGCUUCGGUGGAGUGUUAUAGCUUCUGUUGAUACCACCAGCUGGGACUGAGGACUGCGUCUUUGACUAGGAUGUUGGCGUAAUGAUUUUAAGCCACCCGUCUUGA